UUACCCACUCCCGGCACGGGGAGGUAGUGACGAAAAAUAACGAUACGGGACUCAUCCGAGGCCCCGUAAUCGGAAUGAGUACACUCUAAACCCUUUAANNNGGANNNAUUGGAGGGCAAGUCUGGUGCCAGCCGCCGCGGUWAUUCCAGCUCCAAUAGCGUAUAUUAAAGUUGUUGCGGUUAAAAAGCUCGUAGUCGAAUUUGUGUCUCGCGCCGCCGGUUCAUCGUCCGCGGUGUUAACUGGCGAGUCGCGAGACNUCCUGCCGGUGGGCUUNGCUCGCGAGGGCGGCCCAACUCAAUCCUGCCGCGGUGCUCUUCAUUGAGUGUCGAGGUGGGCCGGCACGUUUACUUUGAACAAAUUAGAGUGCUUAAAGCAGGCUAAAACUUCGCCUGAAUACUGUGUGCAUGGAAUAAUGGAAUAGGACCUCGGUUCUAUUUUGUUGGUUUUCGGAACCCCGAGGUAAUGAUUAAUAGGAACGGAUGGGGGCAUUCGUAUUGCGACGUUAGNNGUGAAAUUCUUGGAUCGUCGCAAGACGGACAGAAGCGAAAGCAUUUGCCAAAAACGCUUUCAUUGAUCAAGAACGAAAGUUAGAGGUUCGAAGGCGAUCAGAUACNGCCCUAGUUCUAACCUUAAACGAUGCCAGCNAGCGAUCCGUCGACGUUCCUCCGAUGACUCGANNGGCAGCUUCCGGGAAACCAAAGCUUUUGGGUUCCGGGGGAAGUAUGGUUGCAAAGCUGAAACUUAAAGGAAUUGACGGAAGGGCACCACCAGGAGUGGAGCCUGCGGCUUAAUUUGACUCAACACGGGAAACCUCACCAGGCCCGGACACCGGAAGGAUUUACAGAUUGAGAGCUCUUUCUUGAUUCGGUGGGUGGUGGUGCAUGGCCGUUCUUAGUUGGUGGAGCGAUUUGUCUGGUUAAUUCCGAUAACGAACGAGACUCUAGCCUGCGAACUAGGCGUAUUUUGACANCCUANAGGCCCGCCGGCUUGGGG
rnacentral:rRNA from 1 species